GAUGAACGCUGGCGGCGUGCCUAAUACAUGCAAGUCGAGCGAACAGACGAGGAGCUUGCUCCUCUGACGUUAGCGGCGGACGGGUGAGUAACACGUGGAUAACCUACCUAUAAGACUGGGAUAACUUCGGGAAACCGGAGCUACUACCGGAUAAUAUAUUGAACCGCAUGGUUCAAUAGUGAAAGACGGUUUUGCUGUCACUUAUAGAUGGAUCCGCGCCGCAUUAGCUAGUUGGUAAGGUAACGGCUUACCAAGGCAACGAUGCGUAGCCGACCUGAGAGGGUGGACGGCCACACUGGAACUGAGACACGGUCCAGACUCCGACGGUAAGCAGCAGUAGGGAAUCUUACGCAAUGGGCGAGAGCCUGACGGAGCAACGCCGCGUGAGUGAUGAAGGUCUUCGGAUGGUAAAACUCUGUUAUUAGGGAAGAACAAAUGUGUAAGUAACUAUGCACGUCUUGACGGUACCUAAUCAGAAAGCCACGGCUAACUACGUG
rnacentral:rRNA from 1 species